UUUGAGAGAUGAGAAUUUGUGGCUUGAGUCGCCCAAUAAAAGUUCAGAGGACAGUUGAGACGACCUCAGUUCAGAGCAGCAGCAGAUGUUGCAUCGAUAAGCUGGUCAGAUGGAUGCAGUGAGAGUCGGCCUUUUACUGCUAUUGCCAUGUUUUGUGUGCUUUUUGGAUGCUGAAGAAACUCUUGUAAAAACAAUCUGGCAAGAAUCUGAUUUCACUCCAAUCUGCACCAAAAAAACAUCAAAUAUCAUCAUGUUGAUUGUGUGUAGGAUCAGAACGGAGAAUAACGGCAAAGAGGGAUGCAGUUUACGGUACAAGGACGAAGGUGACUUUGUUCAUGAGUGUGACUCCAGGUUCUCACUAAAAACCAGGAAUCAAACUGUGUUUCUGCACCUGACCAGUUUAACAGCAGCUGAUAGUGGGAACUAUUCCUGUCAGUGUUCAAAUCUUGAUGGAACAUAUUUUCUUCAUCUCAGCAUCACAGUUAAUGGUGAGCACAUUUUAUAUUCCUUCUAUCAAACUUACAGUAACUAUUUAUUCUCUAACAAUGUUUGCUUUAUUUCCAAUAGACUCAUUUCCUAAUAAUAAUCUAUCAGAUGGAGUUUGGAGCCAGUCUGUAGGAGUGACUCUUCCUUCUGCUUUGACUGCUGCAGUUCUCUUAAUUAUCAUAGUUUCAGUUAUUCUGGGAUUUAUUCACAGAAGACGUCAAUAUCGGUGAGAAACUAACGCAAUAUUCCUGGUUUGUUCUUUUACCUAAAUACAAGCUUCACGGUUAAAACUGCUGAUUUAAAAUUUCACUUGUGGUCUUUAUUUGCAUCUUGAACAUAAUUUUUCCAUUAUCCUGAAUCUAAAUUGUUUUUUUUAAUACAUUUGCCUGAACUCUACCUCCAGAUGAUUAUAAUAAACUUUUACACUAAUCUGAGGUUCCUCUCGUAUUAAAGCUCCUGUUUAAGAUCUGAAACACCUGGAUCACCUGUGCAUAGAUCUGCUGCAGCCAUAGAUGAAGAAAACACAGAUGAACUGUACACAGGUCUCCAGCAGCCAACAGCAGACAUCUACCAAACUGUUUCUUCAGGUCACCAUCAGCAAGAAACUAAAACAAACUCGGCUAACAACAUUGAAACCGAUGACCUGGAAAAUCUGGAGAGGAACAGGAUUUGUAAAAUCUAUGAAAAUCUUUGUACCAAUAAUCUGUUGAGAUGAAUAAAGUCUGAUUGGUUGAAUUUUCUUUCUAUGUUUAACUGAGCAAAACUAAUUAUGACGCUAUUUCAGUUCUUUGGUGAUCGACUUCUACGUUGGUUUGUGUGGACAGAAUCUGCUAACUGAAGGAUGACAGCUGAAGCUCUUCACCUGAUUUUCACCCAGUAACAAAUCCCUUUUUUUAAAUGUAUAUUAAAGAAUGAGCUGACCUUUGAACUCGUCUCUUCAUCAAUUUUGUUUUUGUUACCUUCACAUUUUUAGUAACUGGUGGUUUUAUUGACCACAAUAUUUCUGGCAGGAUUUGUGGCUCACUGGAAAAAGUAACUGCAACAAACUUCAGUGUGAGGUUAAGAGUCUGUUAACUACUUACAUUAAGUGAGAUCAGUCUCUUGCAGCUGCUGAUGCAUUUUUCUGUCUAGUUGCGAACAUGUUUGUGUGAAAGUGUUGCACUAAGAAACGAAAAGGGACCAAACCUACAUCAACCUGUACCAGGACGCUUUCUUCUCUUACUGCUCACAGUCAAGCCUCAAAAUAUGUGAAGACAACAAAGCAAACAUGACAUUUAGAUUUUAUCUAGUCUUAUUAAGCCCCUACAGUUACAGGAAACGAGGCAGGAAGUCCUGCCUACCAGAACGUGCAUGGUUAGGUUUGCAUCUAGCUGUGUCAUUGUCUGAUAUAAGGGGCUACAGUAAAGAAAAGUACCUUUUUCUGCUGGGUAAUAUAAAUAAGAGUUGAUUGUUUUUGUUUAAUAGUCCUGUUGGGUCAAAGGUUUGCUUAAAACCGAAAUGCAAAUAUACCUGCAGUUUGUGUGCUCUGUUGUUUCAGAGAGCAGCGGUGAAAGUAAGAGCGUUUCCUUUUCGGAAAAAGUGUCACGUCCUCGUGAAGCACUUUGAAGGGCGAAAAUUUGUGGUUUGAGUCGCCCAAAAUGUACAGAGAGUUCAGAUGGCUUCAGUUCAGUGCAGCAGCAAACGUUGCAGUCGCAGAGUAAUUAGAUGGAUGCAAUGAGAAUCACCUUUUUACUGCUUCUGCCAUGUUUCGUGUGGCUUUUGGACGGCAAAGUGACUCUUGUGAAAUCGAUUGGGAAAGGAUCUGAUUUCACUCCAAUCUGCACCAACAAAACAUCAAAUAUCAUCAUGUUGAUCAUUUGUAAGAUCAGAACGGAGAGAAGCGGUGGAGAGCAGUGCAGUCUGCGGUAUAAGAAUGGAGGUGACUUUGUUCAUGAGUGUGACUCCAGGUUUUCACUGAAAACCAGGAAUCAAACUGUGUUUCUGCACCUGACCAGUUUAACAGCAGCUGAUAGUGGGAACUAUUCCUGUGAGUGUUCAAAUCUUGAUGGAACGCAUUUUCUCCAACUCAGAAUCACAGUUAAUGACUCAAAUCCCGAUGAGAAUUCAUCAGAUGAAGCUGUGAGCCAAUCUGGAGUGAUUCUUCUUUCUGCUGCAGUUCUCCUAGUUAUCAAAGUCUCAGUCAUUCUGGUAUUUAUUCACAGAAGACGUCCACAUCGAUCCAAAACAUCUGGAUCAUCUGUACAUGGAUCAGCUGCCUCUAUAGAUGACGAUAAUUUGAAUGAGCUGUACGUGAAUCUCCAGCGGCUAUCCAGAGACCUCUAUCAAACCGUCUCCUCAGGUCACGAUCAGCAUGAAGCUCACACAAACUCGGCCAAGAACAAUGUAACCGGUGACCUGGAAAAUCUGGAAAGGAACAGGAAUAUUUAUGAAAACUAAUAAUCUAUCAGGAUAAAUACAGUUUGAUUUACAUCAGGCUGAAUUUUCUUAUGUUUUACUGUAUUAAUUAAGCUAAGAUGAUGUAUGUAAAUUUACCUCUGGUAACAGAAUCUGUUACAUUCUCACAUCUUUAUCAACUGUGUUAUGAACAGAAGGUACUAUUUCUAUUUUUGCAAAGUUGUUAAAACACUAUUAAUACAUUUUCUGCACGGGUCAGGACGUAUGUACAUAUAAAAUGUACUUAUUAUUUAUGUACUGGUGUAUUAUGGUUUUCAUUUGUCUUGCUUGAAAAUGCAUGGUUUAUAUGACAUCACUGAUAUGCAGUGGUGUCCAAACGUUUUUGUCAUGAUGGCCAAAAUCAUCCGAGUGAAAAGGACUCGCAGCCAAAAAUAAAUUUUAAGAAAAUGCA